AGAUCGGAUCCCCAUACUUGCUAAUGCUAGGCCACGGCUGACGUCUGCGCCGCUUCCGCGUCGGCGGCGGACAGCUCGGAGCCGCUAGGUCUCCGCUCUCUGCCGCAUUCCGUGGCAUAUCCUAUAACAAUUUCCCCAACGCCACAUGGCCAACGCCGACGCUGGCGACGGCGACGAGGUCAUCCUCGACGCUCCCGGCUUCAUACGAGUGUACAGGAGCGGCCGCGUCGAGCGCUUUCUGCCGGUCGACUUCGCCCCGCCCUCCACUGACGCCGCCACCGGCGUCUCUUCAAAGGACGUCGCCAUCCUCCCAGACGCCUGCCUAUUGGUUCGCAUUUACCUCCCAUUGCCCCCCUCUUCCGGAAGUUACAGCGGCAAACUCCCCGUCCUGGUGUUCUUCCACGGCGGCGGGUUCUGCCUCGGUUCGGCGUUUGAUGCGGCGGUGCACUCCCACGCCAACCGGUUAGCCGCGGCUGCCGGCGCAAUCAUCGUGUCGGACUGUCGGUGGAAUACCGCCUCGCGCCAGAGCAUCCGGUCCCCGCUCUCUACGGGGACGCGUGGACGGCGCUCCAGUGGGUGGCCGCGCACUCCGUGGGCCGGGGGCAGGAACCCUGGCUGACUGCCCACGCGGACCUCGGGCGCGUCCACGUCGGCGGAGAGAGCGCGGGCGCGAACAUUGCCCACCACGCCGCGAUGCGCGCUGGCAGAGAGGAGCUGGGCCACGGCGUGAAGCUCAGCUCGCUCGUGAUGAUCCAUCCCUACUUCCUGGGAGGCGAGAGCUCCGAGACAGACGACAUGGGCGUAGCGUUGCUCCGCGAGCUCGUCCGGCUGUGGCCGGUGGUGUGCCCGGGCACGAGCGGGUGCGAUGACGACCCGUUGAUCAAUCCGAUGGCAGAGGGUGCCCCCAAUCUCGCUAGCUUGGGGUGCCGACGCGUACUGGUGUGCGUCGGGGGAAAGGACCCGAUGAGAGGCAGAGGAAGGCUGUAUUGUGAGAAGCUGAAGAGAAGUGGGUGGCGCGGGGAGGUGGAUGACUGGGAGGCGGACGGCCAGGGACACGGUUUCCAUCUCUCGUGCCCCAUGAGCGCAGAGGCGGAGGCGCAAGUCCGGGUCAUCGCUGAGUUUCUGACCUACGGAUGACAUAUCUGUUUUCCCACUCCUUCACGCGGCCAUGGUGCAUUGUUCUCGAAUCUGAUAUACAUUUUUUGUUUCGAGUUUGGAUUGAGGACAUGCAUGUUUAUAUUUUAUAUUUUUAUCUACUAUUUCAUAAGCUUAAUAAAUGUUUGGCUAUGGGUUCCAGAUUCUCAAUUUUCAUCAGAAGAAGGGGUUACUGAGCUGUAUUAGACUUACCUUUGGGUUAAUAUCUAUUGGUGCAAGACCCAGAUUGGCUAUACCUUUGUAAUCGAAUUUGCUUUGCCUGGCUAAAGUUUAUGACAAAA